AGUUCGAGCUUCCCAGCUGCAUUGUUUACCUAAGCAAGCCUGGGCAAUGGCGGGCGCCCCUCCCCCAGCCUCGCUGCCGCCUUGCAGUUUGAUCUCAGACUGCUGUGCUAGCAAUCAGCGAGACUCCGUGGGCAUAGGACCCUCCGAGCCAGGUGCAGGAUAUAAUCUUGUGGUGCGCCGUUUUUUAAGCCUGUCCGAAAAGCGCAAUAUUCGCGUGGGAGUGACCCGAUUUUCCAGGAUGCCCACUGGAUCCAAAGAGAGAAACUCUAUAGAAUUAUGAUCUAGGUUUGACUGACUCCUGGCAAGAAGCCCUACCCGCCAGCCAAUUUGGAUGAGGCAAAAUUAGAAAAAUCCUGGAUUUGAAGUCAAGAGACUUAUAUUUGAAUAUCCACUCUGGAAAAGUCAGAUAAGUUCUCUUCUCUCUGACAUUCAGUUUUUUAUUUGUUAAAAGAGGGAAACAAUUCUAGGGCUUUCAUGAUAACAAACAAGAUUAUUGUCUGAAAAAAAAAACUUUGUAAAUAGUAAAGUGAUGUAGAAAUGCAG
rnacentral:lncRNA from 10 species